rnacentral:rRNA from 1 species
AUUGAACGCUGGCGGCAUGCCUUACACAUGCAAGUCGAACGGCAGCACGGAGCUUGCUCCUGGUGGCGAGUGGCGAACGGGUGAGUAAUGCAUCGGACCGUACCCGGAAGUGGGGGAUAACGUAGCGAAAGUUACGCUAAUACCGCAUAUUCUGUGAGCAGGAAAGAGGGGGAUCGCAAGAACUCUCGCUUUCGGAGCGGCCGAUGUCGGAUUAGCUAGUUGGUGGGGUAAAGGCCUACCAAGGCGACGAUCCGUAGCGGGUCUGAGAGGAUGAUCCGCCACACUGGAGCUGAGACACGGUCCAGACUCCUACGGGAGGCAGCAGUGGGGAAUUUUGGACAAUGGGCGAAAGCCUGAUCCAGCCAUGCCGCGUGAGUGAAGAAGGCCUUCGGGUUGUAAAGCUCUUUCGGCUGAAAAGAAAUCGCACAGGCUAAUACCCUGUGUGGAUGACGGUAUCAGCAUAAGAAGCACCGGCUAACUACGUGCCAGCAGCCGCAGUAA